rnacentral:pre_miRNA from 1 species
AGUGGGAUAGCUGGGUCAAAUGCUGGUUCCACUCCAAGUUUUCCAAGAAAUCUCCAUACUGCUUUCCAGAUUGGCUGUGUCAAUUUGCAGUCCCAUCAGCAAU